rnacentral:rRNA from 1 species
UACGUAGGGGGCGAGCGUUGUCCGGAGUUACUGGGCGUAAAGCGCUUGUAGGCGGUCCACCAAGUUUGGGGUGACAGUUGCCGACUUAAUCGGCAAAGUGCCUCAAAGACUGGCGGACUUGAGGGCCACAGAGGGACAUGGAACUCCAGGUGUAGUGGUGAAAUGCGUAGAUAUCUGGAAGAACACCAAAGGCGAAGACAGUGUCCUGGGUGGUCGCUGACGCUGAGAGGCGAAAGCCAGGGGAGCGAACGGG